GAGGGAAAGUUGCAAAGAACUUUGAAGAGAGAGUUCAAUAGGGCGUGAAACCGCUUAGACGCAAACGGGUGGAACUGCAAUGCAGUCUGUAGAAUUCAGCUUACUUUAAAGGGGGUGCCUUGUGACAGAUCGUUUGACUGCCUUCAUGGUUUCACUUCUGCAAGUGAGUGCAUUUUCUGCAGAUGAACGCCACGAUCAAUUACUGCGUCGGCUGAAGGUGGUUGAUUGCCGACUCAGACUUGUCUGAGAGCCCCGUCAACCCAACUGGUCCAGAUUGCAGUGAUUGAACACGUGCCGCACCUGCAUGUCUCAUAGCGUAUUGGUUUUGGUUGGUUUGAAAUUCUAUGUUCAGCAUGCUGGUCAUGGAGACUCCCAUCCAUAACUUUGUACGUUCUUGAGUCGGUGCUUAUGAUCGGUGGCGUCCGUGUCAGUGUCCCACCCGACCCGUCUUGAAACACGGACCAAGGAGUCUAACAUGUACGCAAGUCAUUGGGUGCUAAACCCAAAGGCGCAAUGAAAGUAAAGGCCAAUUUAUUUGGCUUAAGUGAGAUUCUCGGGUAACCGGGACGCAUCACUGUCCCGUCUUAUUCACAUUGCUGAAGAGGCGGAGAAAGAGCGUACACGUUGGGACCCGAAAGAUGGUGAACUAUGCCUGAGCAGGACGAAGCCAGAGGAAACUCUGGUGGAGGUCCGUAGCGGUUCUGACGUGCAAAUCGAUCGUCAGACUUGGGUAUAGGGGCGAAAGACUAAUCGAACCAUCUAGUAGCUGGCUUCCUUCCGAA
rnacentral:rRNA from 1 species